GACUUCGUGGCCCAAUGGAUAAGGCGAUGGUCCAUGAUACCAAAGAUUCUGGGUUCGAUUUCCAGCGGAGUUG
rnacentral:tRNA from 1 species